GACGAACGCUGGCGGCGUGCUUAACACAUGCAAGUCGAGCGGUAAGGCUCCUUCGGGAGUACCCGAGCGGCGAACGGGUGAGUAACACGUGAGUAAUCUGCCCUUCACUUCGGGAUAACCACCGGAAACGGUGGCUAAUAACGAAUACGACCAGUCUUCGCAUGAGGUGCUGGUGGAAAGUCUUUUCGGUGAAGGGUGUGCUCGCGGCCUAUCAGCUUGUUGGUGGGGUAAUGGCCUACCAAGGCUUCGACGGGUAGCCGGCCUGAGAGGGUGACCGGCGUCACUGGGCCUGCGACACGGCCCAGACUCCUGCGGGAGGCAGCAGUGGGAAAUAUUGGACAAUGGGCCAAAUCCUGAUCCAGCAACGCCGCGUGAGGGAUGACGGCCUUCGGGUUGUAAACCUCUUUCAGUACCGACGAAGCGCCCUGUCGGGUGGUGACGGUAGCUACAGAAGAAGGACCGGCCAACUACGUG
rnacentral:rRNA from 1 species